UACGUAGGCAGCGAGCGUUGUUCGGAGUUACUGGGCGUAAAGCGUGCGCAGGCGGUUAUAUAAGACAGUUGUGAAAUCCCCGGGCUCCAACCUGGGAACUGACAUCUGUGACUGUAUAGCUAGAGUACGGUAGAGGGGGAUGGAAUUCCGCGGUGUAGGCAAGUUGAAAUGCGUAGAUAAUGCGGAGGAACACCGAUGGCGGAAGGACAACUCCCUGGACCUGUACUCGAC
rnacentral:rRNA from 1 species